GGCGGUUGUGGUGAAGUGGUUAACACAUCGGAUUGUGGUUCCGACAUUCGAGGGUUCGAUCCCCUUCAGCCGCCCCCA
rnacentral:tRNA from 1 species